rnacentral:lncRNA from 1 species
CGUCAUUGGAUUUAAAGUAUCAAUUAUAGUAUACUAAUAGUAGGUUGACGUUUUAGAAGAAUUAUGGGAUAUAAGGUUGAUAUAUCCAUCUGUAGAUGUAAUAAUUAUCAUAAUUUACGAUAGUGGCGACAAGGAUCAGACCGUUGCUUAACAGAAGGCGUCAUUUUUUCAUCGGAAGAUAAUUGAGAGUUCUGAUGAUCUCCAAACCUAGAUUAUCAAAGUUUAUAUAGGGCCUUAAUUCUUAUAAAUGUUCUUGGACGAGCGUAAUUUCCAAUAAUAUCUUGGUGGAAAUCUGGAGCUGAACUUUGAAGAAUUGAUAUUAAAGUCUCAAUAACAAUAGGCUGGCUCGAUAUUUUCUGUCCAUGAUAUGCUUCAAAGAUUGCAUCCAAUUUUUUUAUCUGAGAGAGGAAGGAAUUUGUAGGUUUUAUCAGUCCUCCUUUGGAUAAUGCUGAUAUCCACGGUGUCAUAUCUGAAUCACAAAACGGAUCAUCUCUAGUCUUGAAACCGAUUUCAGGAUAUUUCGAAGACAACUUCUUGACCAAGAAUCCAGUGGUAUAACCCAAUCCUUGAAGUCUACAGUCAUAGGAUGAGGAGGAAGAAUUUGACGGUGCUCCGAAUUCCAGAUCCGGAUUUAUAGAGAGCUAAAAGUGAAGCAUCUUCAUAUUCUUCCUAAUCUAUUUCCGUUUCUUUAUUUUCCGGUUUUAUUUCAUUAAUUAAACAACCAAGAAAGUUCUUCUAUUCGAACUGAUGUUGACCUAAUAUGAAGUCGGUCGGAUUGGCCAAUAACAACUAGUCUUAGUCUAUUGAUACAAUCAACACUAGUUGGAUGGACGUUGGAUACUCCCAAGGCCCUCAAGCGCGAGAAAUUUUUUCGAAGCAAUCUUGAUUUAACCUAGAAAAUCCAAGGUAGAAUAUCCUGGUUUUAUUUAUGAAUGACCUUCUCAGAAUGUUUCGUUUAUGAGUGACCUUCACACAAUGUGCUGAUUGAAUAUACAGACUCAAAAACUCUUAUCUGUAAUAUGAAUGGAAUCAUAGCCCCUCCAUGUUUAAUUAAUUCGAUGAGUGAGUGCCAAAUUGGGAUAAGUCGUGAAUAAUGCCAUCCUCGGCAGUAUUUCAAGAAGAAUUUAAUUUUUUACUUAUUAAGUCAACUCUUAGCAUGCAAUCAUCUAGGAAUAUAUUUGUUAUUCAUGAGGAUUUUAAUUCAAAAAUAAGUAUCAAUAACAUAGUAUGAAAUAUCACGAAUUCUAAACAAUGGGCCUUGAUUGAUAUAAAUUAAUGUGAACGUCAAACCCCUUUGUAAUACCUUUAUGGAGUUGAUAAUACGUUGAGUCAGCUGAUUUAAUUAAUACUAGAGUCAACUUGUUAAAAUGAAAUGAAAACAGAUAGAAGGAAAUGAAGUCAAUGUUAAAUUAAAAAAAAGGUUAGACUCUAAUCGAUCAAAAACAUGACUAAUUGUACAAAUCUAGCCAUUUCAGAGGGAUUUCUCGUACAUA